rnacentral:lncRNA from 1 species
GCCUUAAGACUUGCUCAUCGGGUGGCAUCCUCUUGGAGCCUGAAGUGGGUCAGACCCUCAAGUACCCACCACACUAGGCAGCAAGGGGAGCGAGAAAGACGGGAGAAGGAGAGAGAAGAGUGGGAACGCCAGUACAGCCGCCAGAGCCGCUCACCCUCCCCACGCUACAGUCGAGAGUACAGUUCUUCUCGAAGGCGCUCGAGGUCCAGGUCCCGAAGCCCCCAUUACAGGCAUUAGGCGGACUGCGUGGGACUGCAGCGCUCUGGGUUUCUGUAGUGAAAUAAAAGCAAACAUUAUUUAAUACCCUUUACUGCCUGCUGUCCUCUGACAAGUGUAGGA